rnacentral:rRNA from 1 species
UACGUAGGGUGCAAGCGUUAAUCGGAAUUACUGGGCGUAAAGCGUGCGCAGGCGGUUAUAUAAGACAGUUGUGAAAUCCCCGGGCUCAACCUGGGAACUGCAUCUGUGACUGUAUAGCUAGAGUACGGUAGAGGGGAUGGAAUUCCGCGUGUAGCAGUGAAAUGCGUAGAUAUGCGGAGGAACACCGAUGGCGAAGGCAUCCCUGGACCUGUACUGACGCUCAUGCACGAAAGCGUGGGAGCAAACAGG